GAGGGUAUAGCUCUGUGGUAGAGUGCAUGCUUAGCAUGCACAAGAUCCUAGGUUCAAUCCCCAGUACCUCCA
rnacentral:tRNA from 1 species